rnacentral:misc_RNA from 1 species
CUGAAGUAGAUAGUGUGACAAGUGUAUGAGAAAUGUUAUUAGAAUUUGAACAAUAACGAUUUUAGAAUGCAGAAAUUCGAAUCAAGAUAGGCAGGGGUCUUGCUAAAUUGAUACCGUACUAAUUCGAAUGAAAAAAUCAUCCGUACGAUCUGUACGGUCGCUAAACGGAGCCGCAGGAACGUUGAAAGAUGCGGGACACUUUGGACACCGAUGGGGCUUUUCUUCCGCGUGUUGCUCGAGGUGCCUUCGGAGUAACAUGAGUCUGGUAAAUCCCUUACCGCAUAUUUUACAUUUUAAGUUGUUG